AUUGAACGCUGGCGGCAGGCCUAACACAUGCACGUCGAGCGGAGCGGCGGACGGGGGAGUAAUGCCUAGGAAUCUGCCUGGGCGUGGGGGAUAAGGUACGGAAACGGGCGCUAAUACCGAAUACUCGCAGAUGCGCCUAGGUCGGAUUAGCUAGGUGGUGGGGUAAAGGCCUACCAAGGCGACGAACCGUAACUGGUCUGAGAGGAUGAUCAGUCAAACUGGAACUGAGACACGGUCCAGACUCCUACGGGAGGCAGCAGUGGGGAAUAUUGGACAAUGGGCGAAAGCCUGAUCCAGCCAUGCCGCGUGUGUGAAGAAGGUCUUCGGAUUGUAAAGCACUUUAAGUUGGGAGGCGUUACCAACAGAAUAAGCACCGGCUAACUUCGUGCCAGCAGCCGCGGUAAUUC
rnacentral:rRNA from 1 species